CCGCCUCUUCCCCUCCCAAGACCCCACCCUCGACAAAACCUUCGCAAAAAACCUCUACAAAACUUGCCCCACUUCCAAUGCCAAUGCUACCACUGUGCUUGACAUUCUAACCCCAAAUGCAUUUGAUAACAAAUACUAUGUUGACCUCAUUAAUCGACAAGGUCUGUUCACUUCCGAUCAAGAUUUGUUUACUGACAAGCAGACGAGAUCAAUCGUCACCAGCUUUGCCGCGAACCAGUCAUUGUUUUUUGAGAAGUUUGUGUUGGCGAUGAUCAAGAUGGGGCAGAUGAGUGUGCUUACUGGGGUACAGGGAGAUAUUAGGGCUAAUUGCUCUGCAAGGAACCCUUCAAGGUUUGUGGUACCCUUUGGUGGAGGGGGACAAGAGGGAGUUGCUGCCUCCUUUUAGAUUGUGUACAAGACCCUUUGCUUUACUAAGAUAACAGUUCUAUCAGACAAUUUACGUAAAAAAUGGAUUAGGGUUGGUCCUUUUUGGUCUGUCCCCCAUUUCCAUUGUAUUCAACUGGUAGGACAUUAAAUUUCUUUGCAAGGAUGCCCAUAACCUGGUAUGUAAUUUGAAGUUCUGAUUUUUUCCAAUGAGAAAGUACAUGGGUUUCUUCAUAUGGACUAUACAUGAUAAGACGGUUCCUAUUUAACUAUCAACUUGUUUGUUAAACUUUUCAAAAUUGCAAUUCGUUUGAUAUUUCACAUCCAUAGCUACCCUCUUCCACUUUGACCAAAGUUUGAAAAUUUGGCCUAGUCGACUCUUAAUUGUUAAUGGUGAUUUGUGAGUUUUUUUUAUCACUCGUUUCAUUUUUUCUGUUUCCUCUUCUUUUUUGGAUUUUCAUGAAUUGUUUUUAGUUAUAACUCAAACCUUAGUUUCAUCUAUAUCUUCUAAAAAAAUGAAUGAAUGUUUUAUUUUGGAAGGUUUAAAUAAAUUCAAGGAUAUUGUGUUUGAUAAUAUAUAUAUAUAUAUAUAUAUAUUAACAAUAUAAAUAUAAAUAUAUUAUAUUAUAUUAUAUAAUAAAUAUUAUGUAUUAUUAUAUUUUGCAUAAUAUAAUAUUACAUAUGAUAUAAUAAAAGGAUGGAAAAAGUUUAUAUAAGGAUGCAACCUUAUAAUGUAGAACUACGGAUGCACUUCAAAAAUCCAUCGAAAAAUGUAGUUUUAAUGUUGAAAAACCUUUUGAUUGAUCAUCUCGACAUCGAGAUGUAUGACCAUGAAAAAUAAAAAGAUUUUAAGUCUCGAAAAUAGUGCAUGUUACAACAUAUUAUCUACACCAUCCAUUUUCAAUAUUUUCAUAUGUUUAUAGAUUAACUUGAUUUUAACCAUUUUUUAAAUUUAAAAUUUUAUGAUUAGAUAUAAAAAUAGAUUUUGAGAUAAUCCUAAGAGCAUUUUACAUCAAAAUUAUAUGCCAUAUUAAAAUUUGAAGGUGCACCUUACCUCUACAGCUACGGAUGCAUCUGUAUGCUAACUGCACCUUAAAAGGAUUGUAUGCAAUGAGACCACUUACUUUUGAUACAAAGAGGUCACAGUUAUUACAACCAUCCAAUGUGAAAUUUGAUAGCUUAGAUGUGUCACAAAGUUCGAGAAAAUUUCUUUUGAAGUUUGAGCUUGGUGAAUGGAAUAUAUGCAGCCAUCCAAAUUCACAUCCAAUGGUGACGAUUAUUUGUGGCCAUCUUGUACCAAAGGUAAAUAGGAUCGUUAUAUAUUUUCCUUAUAAUAAAUAUAUAUUAUAUAUAAUACAAUAUAAGAUACUUAUAUAUUAUAUAUAAUAUAUAAUAUUAGUAUAUUAGUAUAUUUUAUAUUGCAUAUAAUAUAUAAUCAAUGCAUAUUAUAUAAUGUAAAUUACAUUAAUAAAAAUAUAAAUAUAUAAUUUAAUAUAAUAUUACUAUAGCAUAAUAUUAUAUUAUAAUAUUAUAGUAAUAUUAUAUUAUAUUAUAUCAUAUUAAUAUUAUUAAUAUUAUAUUAUGCAUAGUGAAUAGUGAUAAACAAAAACGUUCUAAAAUAUUAAGUUCAUAUUCCCCUCGAACUUAAUCUUUCAUGUUUUAACAAAGGAAUGGAAAUUUUCUUGGAAUAUUGAUUUUUGAACUUUUAGAUGGAAACAGUAUGUCAAACGCGAAACUUUUGAAAAAUUAGAAAGAUUUCUUACUUAAAAAAUUCUUUCAGAAAAACAAAUGCACCCCUAGUGCUUAAAAAAUCGACUUGCCCCUUGCCCGAGCCUAAUCCAGUUCUAGUUCAAAAAAAUAAAAAGUCAAAAACUUAAUUUAUAUAUCGCAGCCUUUGCUUCAAUGAUGUUAGACGUUAAAUGACUUGAUGGUUAGGUCUUCCACACUUGGGGUUUCUCCAUACGAAAUGACUUGAGUUCAAAUCAAGGGUCAACUCAUUUUCAAUUUAUGUUUUUUUUUUUUUUAAAGUGUAAUGUAGGAAUAUACACAUACUUGUCAUGAUAAGGAAAUUUUGGUAGCAAGUUCUUUUUUUUUUUUUAAAGUGUAAUGUAGGAAUAGACACAUACUUGUCAUGAUAAGGAAAUUUUUAUAGCACGUUGAUUAAAGGGUUAAGCUCGUACAUUACCUCCUUUGUCAGAGGUCUUAGAUUUGAAUCCUUUUCCCAAACAAAUUUUCCUAUUUUUUUUAAAAAAAAAUGAAGAAAAAUAAAUGUUUAACNNNNNNNNNNNNNNNNNNNNAUAUAUAUUUAUAUAAACGUCAAGUUAGUUCUGAAUUUUCAGAAAUUAAAAUUAAUCUCUGCAUGGUCCACCAAGAUCACCCUGAAAGUCGCAAUUGUUCUCGCUAGGGUUUGAAAACUCGUCGAGUCGAGCCGGACUCUCCCGGUUCGACUCAGGAAUCGUCUGCUACCGAGCCGAUUCCACAAAAAAACCGGGAAUCGCCCAUAUCUAGAGAAAACCGGGCUAUUCCCAAUAGUGAAUCGCGAGUCGAUUCCCAACAGUGAAUCGCAAGUCGAUUCCCAACAGUGAAUCGCAAGUCGAUUCCCAACAGUGAAUCGCGAGUCUCACCAAAAAAACCUAGGCAUUCUAGUCAUUUUUGGGUUUAUACGUGGCCGCCUCGCGGGAGCAACAUGUGGCACCUAAAAAUCCUCCACACGAGAUAACUCACCUCACAUGUCUGCCCCUCCACUUUUCUACACGUGCAGCACAAUAUCUAUUACACAGGAAUUUAUAGAGAACAAAGCGACGCUCAUCCUUCGAUAUGGGAUAAUUCCCAUAAAAAAUCAUUAAAACAAAAGAUUGAAUAUAUAUUAUUAUAGAAGCUAAUAAAAUCACAUUAGGGGACGUGGCAGUGUUGGUUGACAACUCCGAUUUUUCGGUGGAUAUUUAGAGUUCGAACCUUAGCGCACGUCCUCGUUUAUUUUUGUUGUCAAAAAAAAAAAUAAAGGCAGAAAAUACUGUUGUAAAAAAAUAGAAAAACUAAAAAAUAAAAGGCUUUUCAAGAUAAAGAUAAAAAAGACAAUGCAACAUUUUUUUAUUUUUUUUGUAAAAAAAAUACAAGAUAAUAUAACAAGUAUUUCUUGCAAAAAAACAAAACGAAAGGCAUAAAAAAAUAAAAAAUACAACAAGCAAAAAAAAUUUAGUACAACAUCUUCUUCUUUUGUCAAAAAAAAAGAAAAGAUAAUCAACAAGUAUCAUAUUUUUCUUGUAAAAAAAAAUAAAAGAUAACACAAUAAGUAUUUCUUGUCAAAAACAUAAAAGGUAUUUCUUAAUACAACCUAGGAAUAAAUGGUCUAAUUAUAUUUUUUAUGUUUAUAACAUGAUGGUCUUUAACAUAAAUUUAGUAAUAUUAAUUUAAAUAUAGGAUUCAUACAAUGAGACCAUUUGAAAUCUCUCUCUUUCUACUAACAACCUCUUGGACUAAUUUAUUCUAGAAACCUAAAAAUUUAAAGAAAAUUGGUACGCAUUCUAAUAAUUUCGACAUUGAUAAGCAAAUUUUUUAUUUUAUUUAUUAAUUUUUGUAUUAUAAUUCAUGUAGUGUACUACUUUUCUUACAGUUGUCAAUAAUACAUUUUAAAUUAGAUGAUAUUAUAAAAUAUUUUGGAUUUGUUAUUAGUUUUAUAAUAAAAUAAUUAUAAAAUAUAGUUGGUAUAUAAUAUUAUAGUUAGUUAGGUUGUAAUAAUUUGGGUUUUUUUAGCGGAUUAGGGUUUUUCGUCAAUUCGAGAUUUUAGUGGCCAAUUUUUCAUCGAUUCAGUCAACUCUUUAUUGUAGUCCAUAUAUGAUUAUAUACUUAAUUCAUGAUAAUUCUAUGAUUUCUUUUGUGUGAUGUAAAUUUAAUGGUCAACAUAAGUUCAUAUAGGGAAAGAACAUCUCAAUAUUCAUAAAUUGAUGAAAACAAUGAAAGUUAAUAAUGUACUACCCUCAUUUCUUAUUGCAUUCCUAAAAAACAACAUUUAUAAUGAAUUUUAAUAAUUUUUUCAAGGCUUAAUCCAAGCGAUUCGGCCCUAUUCCCGAUCCGGAUAGCCGAUUCGUCGAUCCGGAUCGGUUUUUGAGAUGCCCGAUCUGGGUCAUCGAUCCGUUUUUUAAACCACUAACACUCGUGGGUAUUUGUUCAUCUACUCCCUCAAAUAACACCCUGCCAAGGAUAAAUUUUAGGAUCCCAAAUUUUGGGGAUACAACCUCUUUAACACUUGGAUUAACCGUUACUAAAGAAAAUUCCUAAUUGCAUCCUCCAAACACUUGAAAAACUAAUGCCUCAAGAUUGAAUAGAAACCAUCUAGUUUUUCAAAGAGUGAGAUCUAAGUGCUAGAAAACUCAAAUUUUACUUUUGUUUUAUUUUAACAGUAAUCAUCUAGUGAUCCUAAAGUGGUUUCCAAAUUUUCAAAUUGAAAAAAAUCCUCCCAAGGUUGGUCAUCUGACGAGCGAGUAGAAGCAGACUUUGAGGAAGCAUAAUACACGUUUUAAAAAAAAAAGACAAAAAAAAGUUGAGAGUUUCGCUUCACUUCCUUCCAAAGCCUAUAAUCCCAUUUUGAGCUUUUGACCUAUUUCUAUUGGAUGAAAUUCCUAUAAAGCCUAGUUUUAUAAAAACAAAAUAAAGCCUUACCUCAAAACUUUUUCCGGAAAGCAUUUUCGGUACAGAAACAAUUAUGAUGGUUUUAAAAUCAAUUUUUAAAACUUAAAAAAAAAAUACAAUAUUACGGAUAUGUGAACCGUUAUUUUUAGGACGAAAUAAACAAUCUAGAUAAUUUUUUAUACUAUUCCCUAUUUGUCGAGUUUAAAAUCCUAAUUUUUUUUCACAACUAUAAUAUUCAAACCAAGAUGAUCAAUCUAAACGUUUUUUUUAUGCUUGAAUUGCAACUUUUCAAUGAGAUAAGGCUCAUUUUCCUUUUCUAUAACUAUAAUAGUGCAUCAUGUAUUAUAGCAUGAGCGGCUAUCCAUAAACAAUGUUAUUAGACUGUGCCCACCACAUGCCCCUCCAUUUACUGCUCAUCCUUUUAUUUAAACUUUCUCUUUGGAGCCAUGCGGCAGCCCUAAUUCUACAUUAGAGAAUCUUUGCUCCUCUCUCUCUCAUGAUUCUAGAGAGACGCCUCUGCCCCUCCUCUCUCUCUCUCUAUUUUUAUGUGUCCAUAAUUUUUUUGUCAAGCACAUGACUCUGUCCAUAAUUUUUUAGAUAGAUUACGCACAUGAUUUUACAGAAGUACAUUUCUUUAUCCAUAUCUAUUAGAACUCAUCCAUUACAAAGUCUUUCUUUAACACAUUAGUCACAAGACUUGUUGCCUCACAUGUCUAUAAAUGCCCCCACCAUUCUUUCUCUAAACCAGUGGGACCAGUUACUGUAAAAUCAAGAGAGAGAAAGGCUUUUAUCUCUCAUAUCAAUGGCUGUCUCUAAAGGGUUUUUGGUGUUAUUGUCCCUGGCCUUUGUGGUGGCCAUAUCCACCAUUGCAAGAGCUCAGACCUUUGAGCCUCCCAUUGUGCAUGGGCUUUUCCUAUCUCAGUGGUUGGUGCCCUUUGGUGGAGAGGGAGAAGAGGGGAUUGUUGCCUCCUUUUAGAUUGUGUAGAAGGCUUUACUAAUAAAACAGUCCUAUUAGGACAAUUUACAUAAAUAUGGAUUAAGGUUGGUCCUUUUUGGUUUGUUCCCCAUUCCAUUGUAUUCACAAGGUAGGACAUUUGUGAAACUUUGGAGGAGCGCUUUGAAUGGAAACGAAUUUUCCAAUAAUACAUACUACCCAAAAAUGGGUAUUUGUAGAGAAUACAAGAGUUUAAAAUCCCACAAUUGUAGGGAUCUAUACACCAAUACAAAACCUAAAGGUUGCAAUUCCUUAAUUGUAGGGAUAUAUACAUCAGUACAAAUUGAAUGAGAUAGGACUCAUUCAAAUGUGGGCUGAGAAAGAAACGAUAACCUGAGGUUUACCGAGUCUCUAGCCAUAAUACUCCGCCUCAAAUUGGUGUGUGUAAGUAGAUGACACCCAACUUGGAUUGUAAAUGAGUUAAUUUCUUUUUUUCGAGAGGCUUGGUAAAUAUAUCUGUUCGUUGAUUACUUGUUUGGAGAUAUUGAGUUUGGAUGAUACCUGCAAGUAACUUCUCACGAACAACAUUACAAUUCAGCUCUAUGUGUUUGGUACGUUCAUGAAAGACAGGGUUGAAUGCAAUGUGUAAGACAGCUUGAUUAUCGCAGUAGAUGAGCAUGGGCUAUGAAUGUGGAACUCCUAAAUCUUGAAGGAGAUUUUUAAACCAAAUGAGUUCACACGUAGUGCUGGCCAUAGCCUGAUACUCGGCUUCUGCAGAUGAGCGAGAUGCAGUGGAUUGUUUCUUGGUUCGUCAAGAGAUGGGGUUGUUUCCAAGAAAUGUACAAUAUCCAAUUACAGAAUGACGAGUAGUAGGGCAGCUGGCUCAAUCUAAUUCACAAUAUGCAGAGAGCUGCAAGGAAUUUGACGAUGGCAUGAGGAUGCCUUUUUCAGGGAUUUGAUUUUAAAUAUCUGAGAACACGCAUAGCUGCAUCCAUAUGACGUUGUCUCGGUGUUUGCAUGAAUGGACUAAGGACAUUGACAGAGAAUGUGAUUUUCGAUCGGGUAAUGGUUAAGUAAAUCAGACGCCCAACAAGUCGUCAAUAAGAGCUUGGGUCUGAAAGAAGAGCUCCAUCAUCUGCAAUGAGUUUCAGAUUUUGUUCUAUGGGAAAUGCGGCGGGUUUUGCCCCGCGUAAGCCUGUUUAUUCCAAAAUGUCCAAAGUGUAUUUCCGUUGGGAGAUAAAUAUUCCCUCUUUCGAUCUAGCUGCUUCGAUUCCCAAAAGAUACUUAAGGAAUCUGAGAUCCUUUAAUUUGAACAGACGAUGCAAAAUUUGUUUUAUGGAAUCAAUUGUAGAAGGAUCAUUCCCGAUGAGAAUGAUGUUGUCAACAUAGAUAAGAAUGACUGUAAUCCGGUCUUGAGUUCUGAGAGUGAACAUGGAAUAGUCUGCUUUGGAUUGUUGAAAACCUGCUUGAAUAAGGGAAGUAGAGAAUUUGAAAAACCAUCUUCGAGAUGCUUGUUUGAGGCCGUAUAAAGAUUUCUUUAGGCGACAAACAAGUUGUUCUUCAUGCUCCCCCUUUCGAGGAAGUUCAGGAAGCAAUUGCAUGUACACUUCUUCAGCUAGGUCACAGUGGAGGAACGCGUUAUUAACAUCUAAUUGGAACAAAGGCUAAGAUUUAACAGCUGCAAUGGCAAGGAGGCAUCGGACGGUGACAAAUUUGGCCACAGGAGCGAAUGUCUCGUGGUAAUCAAUGCCUUCAGCUUGGGUGUAACUUUUUGCUACAAGUCGUGCUUUGUAGCGUUGAAUGCUUCCAUCUACAUGGUAUUUGAUUUUAUACACCCACUUGCACCCGAUGGCAUAUUUGUCUUGUGGCAAGGGUGUGACGAUCAAAGUAUUAUUGGAUUCAAGCGCUCUUAUCUUUGCAGUCAUGGCAUCUCUCCAACAGGCAUCUUUCAUGGCAAUGGUAAAAUUUUUGGGCUCAUGGUUAGAUGAUAUAGAAGCAAGGAAGACACAAUGUGAGGAGGAAAAUAUGUCAUGCGAGAUGUAAUGAGCAAGGGGAUAGGUGAUACCUGUUAGUUGACCAUGCGAAGAUGUGGUAUUGGUCCUAGGUGAAGAGAGUGCUGGAGAGCAUUGAUAAUCUGCAAGCCAUGGGCGAACGAGGCAUUCUUGAGGAUUUGUGAGGCAGUUCAUUAGUAGGAGGGAUUGAAUCCAAUAGCGUUGGUUCAGCUGAUGGCAAAUUCAUAAUUGGGGUAGGUGGUCGUAAUUCGAGAAGUUGAGUGGAAGGGUUUGGGUAAGGAGAAGAAGGCACAACAUAAGUUAGUUGAAAAGGUGAAGGAAAAUGAUUUAUCUCAAUGUCCUCAAUGAGUGGGAGGGGCAUAGAUAAAGAAGGAGAGAGGUCCUUGGUUUUGCCUUUUUCAAUAAGAAAUGAGAAGAUAUUCUUGUAGAAAGUGACAUCUCUACUGACAAUGAAUUUGUGGUCAUCUAAGUCAAAUAGCCUGUAUCAUUUCUAAACAUAAGGGUACCCAAUAAAGAUACACUUGCGUGCAGGAGGAGAAAACUUAUCAUGUACUUUGGUGUGAGCAUAACACAAGCAGCUGAACACACGUAGGUGCUGGUAAGAAGGUCUAGUGUUAAACAAGGUCUCAUGGGAUGAACGUCCUUAUAAAACAGAAGAAGGUAAUCUGUUGAUUAGGUAUGUGGAGGUUAAAACACAUUCUCCCUAGAAAAUGAUGGGUAGGCCAGCUUGAAAGCGAAUGGCUCUUGCUUUUUCAAGUAGAUCCCUAUGCUUGGGUUCAACCACUCCAUUUUGUUAGGGAGUGUGGAUGCAAGAUCUUUGGUAUAAGAUGCAUUUCUCACUCAUAAAACUUUGCAUUUGAUGAGAAAGAAAUCUAGUGCCAUUGUCGGAUCUAAGGGUUUCAAUGGUCGAGUUGAAUUGGUUUUGAACUAUAGCAUAAAAAUGUUUGAUAUGGCAAAAUGUUUCACUUUUGAAUUUCAUUAAAAAAGUCCAUGUGCAGCGGCUAAAAUCGUCUACAAUAGUUAAAAAAUAGUGUGCUCUAGUGUGUGUUCGUGCUGUGUAUGCUCCCCAAAUAUCAUAAUGAAUAAGCUCAAAAAGAACAUAACUUUUAUUAGAACUCAGAGGAAAUGGAUUUCUAGUUUUCUUGGCCACAGGGCAAAUUUCACAAGGACAACAACUAUUUUCUGAAAAAGAAAAAGAUAAGUCUUUGGAUAACUGCCGCAAGCACUGGUUGCAUGGGUGACCAAGGCGGUUGUGCCAGAGGUGAAAAGAGGAGGUUUGAUUGCAGAAACUUUUUAUUCUUGGAGCCUUGUAGAAAUAAAAUCUGUCACGUUCUUCACCCAGACCAAUCACCAUCUUUGUUGCUAGGUCCUGCAAUAUGUCGUAAUCAGGGAAAAAAAUAGCAUCACAAUUAUGAGAUUUGGUUAGCUUACUCACGGAUAAUUGGUUCAAGUCAAAAGAAGGUAGAUAUAAAAAUCAGUAAGUUGUAAUGAUGGUGAAAGGCAGCAGUUUCCUUUAAGAGAAACGUUAACUAUAUCACCAUUUGGAAGUCUGACAUUUUUGUUUGGAUGCAUGCUAUUUUUGCUUGACAAAUGGUCUAAUGAGAAUGCUAUGUUAUCAAAUACCCCCGUAUCAAUGAUUCUUGAUGAUGAAAGAGAUGGUAAAGAAACACAAGACAUAGACAUACCUGCUACGUCGGCAGCCUAUUGUUAAUGUUCAACAAGGAUAUAAGUUGGGAAUGUUGCUCUCGAGAGAAGUGAAUAGCUAUAGAGUUUUCGACAGAUCUAUUGCUGUCCUUAUUGCUAGCGUUUGCAGCAGUAGCAUUGUAACAAGGAGCUUGCCAUCCAUGGAGUUUGCGACAUCGAUGCCGGACAUGCCCAAAAUAUCAGCAAUGAUCACAACGAGGUCUAUCGCGUCCUCGGCCUCCACGGCCAUUGCCUCUUCCACGGAAUUCGUUGGCGUCAUUGUUGUCUGAAUGAGCUCUGCCACGACUAUUUCCACCGAAGUUACCCCCAGCCAUAGCAGCUCCUUCCAAGGGAUGUGCGGAACGAAGUUCUACUGCUAGUUGUCGUUCAUCAUGAAGAAUCAAAGCAUAUGCUUUGUUCAUGGAAGGCAAUGGAUCCAUAGUGUGGAUGUUGCUCCUCACAUUGGAAAAAUAGUCAUUCAAGCUCAUCAAGAACUGAAACACCCUUUCAUUUUGUUUCAAUUGGGUGAUUUCUUAUACAACACCACAGGAGCAUUUUGGGGUGAGAGUUAGGGAAUCAAUCUCAUCCUAAAAUCCUUUAAGUGUGGUGAAAUAUUGCAGGACAAUCAGCUGAUCCUGAACGUGAUUUGAAAUGUCACGAGUAAUGCGAUAAAUCUGAGCAACAUUGCCUUAUGAAAAGCAUUCUUGCAGGUCCUCCCAUAUUUCUUGCGCGGUUUCAAAGUAGAAAACGUUGUUGGUGAGAUCCUUGCUGACAGUGUUCCAAAUCCAGGAUAAGACCAUGGUAUGGCAACGAUUCCAAGCAGUGUGGUUGGAUGCACGUUUCUUCGACUGAGCAAUGGUGUCGUUGAUGAAACCAAGUUUGUUCUUGGCAUCGAGAGCAAUUUCAUGGCUCUCUUCUAAAGUGGAUAAUUUCCUCCGGUGAGUUGUUUAGAAACCAGCAACAUUCCUGGGUUGUCGGAGUGAUGAAGAUAGAAGGGAGAAGAUGGAUCGGUGACUUCUCCAUACGGUACAGUAGACAUGAUUGAAAAAGACAGAAAGUUGCAGAAAAAAUAACAUCAGAGAUUUUUUUUUUUGAUGACUUGCUUUCUCUAAACAACAGCGGGUAGAUAGAGAGAAACUCGUGCUACCAAAAAGGGUUAAGAAAAGGCUCCAAGCAGCAGCAGAACUUGCUUUCUCUAAAGCAGCAGUGGGUAGAAAGAGAAACCCAUGCUACCAAAAAAAACACCGCCAAUUUUGAAGACCCAAUAACAAAAAAGGUGGUUUCGAAAACCUUAGAGAGAGGGACAGAUUUCCUAUUGCAAACUCUGUGGAGCAACAAUGACGAGAGCACCGCAAACUUUGGGACAUGUAGACACCCCAUUUUAAAUUUGAAAAAUUCUAUGAUUUCUGGACCCCUUAAGACCACAUUAUCCUCGUAAACCCAAAAUCCAUAGUUCACACAGCCUACAAUAUGACCCAGAACCAGUUCGCCUAAUCGAAGCCCUGCAAAAGUCCUGUUUUGACCCAGAAUCCUACAAGCGCCCAAACAACUCAUAAAAAAUAGUAAAAAAAAAUCCAGUUUGACCCAAAUUUUCUUUGAGACCUUCACAAGAGGCUAAGGAAAACACCCAAAAUGAAAAAAAGUAAUUUGGACAAGUUUUGAGUUGGAUGACACUAGUCGUGUCGCCCAGCCUGGACUGGGUGACACUGGCAGUGUCGCCCAAGUCAUCUUAUAAAUGCCCUGUUUUACCAAAAAAUUCAUUAAAAAUAGUUAAAAAAAAAAUCAGUUUUGACCCAAAUUUUUUCUGGUAGUUUCACAAGAGGCUAAGGAACACACCUGAAAAAAAAAAUAUUUUAAUUUUGACACUUUUUUACUUGGGCAACAUGAGCCAUGUUACCCAGCCUAGACUGGGUGACACUUCCCGUGUCGCCCAGAUCCAAGACCUCUAAAACCCAUUUUUUUGGAUAUGUACAUGUUGGUUACGUAAGGUUAUCCUUCCCAACCGAUUUUGACCCCUAUAAAGCCUCUUUUCGUGGCCAUUUGAUGGUAGACAGUGAUAAAAAACCUCAGAGAGAUUAGAAACCCUAGAAAUUGUUUCAGAAACCCUAGUCUCCUGAGACCCUAACCCUGAAACCUAAGAAAGCCUAGACCUAGGACACAAUAAUCUUAGAUUGGAACUAGACUUAGAGAACAACAACCCUAGAUCUAACCCUUUACACCAGAGACUGACUGGUCGACAUCCGAAUCACAAAGGCAAAAGAGGACCGGUUCUGAUACGGGCGAGCCCUCGAAGACUUGGGAGUCCCGGGCGCCAUCUGCCUCGAUUUGGUAAUGUUUAUUCACUUUUCCUUCUUCUUCUUUUUACUAUUUUCGUUCAUUUUGAUCUAUUUUGAUUAUUUUACUUUUAAAAUCGUAUUUUAGUAUUGAGAGUAGAUCUUCUCGCUUCCGGGCAGAUCUGGCCUCGGAUCGGAAUUCGAUUUGUCUCACUUUCUUUACCACUUCAUUUACUGUAUUUUCAUAAGUUUAAGGUGUUAAGAUCCAUAGAUCUUCCCUAGAGGAUCUGUCAGAUUUCACCGUAAACAGGGCGACCUUGCAGUUUGAUGUCAAUGCAAUGGCUCUACUGAAAAUAUAUAUUGCAUGCGUGUGCAACUCAAUAGUCUUCCAAAACUCAAAGCCUAAAUGGAAAUCUGAGGGGCUAAUGUCUUCAAUAUCGACCACAACAGAGCACGUGGGAUGGUUAUCGAAUGGCCUUCUUCAACACUUUCUCCGCCUAAUCAUCACAGCUUGCCGAAAAAAAAUUUCACUCUGAUACCAUGUGAAAAUUUGGAGGAGUGAUUUGAAUGGAAACGAAUUUUCUUAUAAUACGUACUACCCAAAAGUGGGUAUUUGUAGAGAACACAAGAGUUUGAAAUCCCACAAUUGUAGGGAUUUAUACAGCAAUAAAAAUCCUAAAGGUUGCAAUCCCUUAAUUGUAGGGACCUAUACAUCAAUUCAAAUUGAAUGAGAUAGAACUCAUUCAAAUGUGGGCUGAGAAGGAAACGAUAAACUGAGGUUUAUCGAGUCUCUAGCCGUAAUACUCUCCCUCAAGUUAGUGUGCAUAAGUCGAUGACAUUCAACUUGGAUUGUAAAUAAGUAAAUUUCUCUUUUUUGAGAUGCUUGGUAAAUAUAUCUGCUCGUUGAUUACUUGUGUGGAGAUAUUGAGUUUGGAUGAUGUCUGCAAGUAACUUCUCACAAACAACAUGACAAUUCAACUCUAUGUGUUUGGUGUGUUCAUGAAACACAUGGUUGGAUGCAAUGUGUAAGGCAGCUUGAUUAUCGCAGUAAAGAAGCAUGGGCUAUGAAUGUGGAACUCCUAAAUCUUAAAGGAGAUUUUUAAGCCAAAUGAUUUCACACGUAGUGGUGGCCAUGGCCCGAUACUCGGCUUUCGCAGAUGAGCGAGAUACGGUAGAUUGUUUCUUGGUAUGCCAAGAGAUGGGGUUGUUUCCAAAAAAUAUACAAUAUCCGGUUAAAGAACGACGGGUAGUAAGGCAGCCGGCCCAGUCUGAGUCGCAAUAUGCAGAGAGCUGCAAGGAAUUUAACGAUGGCAUGAGGAUGCCGUUUCCGGGAUUUGAUUUUAAAUAUCUGAGAACACACAUAGCUGCAUCCAUAUGAGGUUGUCUCGGUGUUUGCAUGAUUUGACUGAAGACAUUGACAGAUAAUGUGAUUCCCGGCCGGGUAAUGGUUAAGUAAAUCAGACACCCAACAAGUCGUUGGAUAAGAGCUUGGGUCUGAAAGAAGAGCUCCAUUGUCUGCAUUGAGUUUCAGAUUUUGUUCCAUGGGAAAUGCAACGGGCUUGGCCGCAUAGAAACCGGGUUCGUUUGUUAAAUCUUAACUGCAAUUCGUUUAAUAUCCAUAACUACCCUUUUACACUUUAACCAAAGUUUUAAAAUUCGACCGAGUCGACUCUGAAUUAUUGGUAUUUGUGAGUUUUCCCUGUCAUGUGCUCCAUUUGAGUUUUUCCUAUCAUGUGCUCCAUUUCUCUCUUUUCUCCUUUUUCUGGAUUUUCCAAUGAAUUGUUUCUAGCUCUAAAUCAAACCUUAAUUUCAUAUUUUACCUAUAGUUCUCUGUCUCAUUAAGACUCUUAAUGAUGUUUAUAGUUCAAUUAGCUUUUUAUCUCCUUUUUUCUUAAUACAUUUUUUGUAUUUUUUCAAAUAUUUACCCCUCUUUAGACUCUAUAUGACUCAAAUGAGUCCACUCGGUUACUUAGCUUGUGUAAGGACCGAGUCCCAAAUCCGAGUCGAUUUUUUACGUGCUGCAUUUGACCUACUUACACCUCAAUAAAAGAAUACUAUUUUUGUAAUACUAACACUGUUGCUUGGUCUUUGUACCUUACAAAUGAACCAUAGUGGGGAUUAUUAAUAGAUAUCACAGGAAUUGUGGAAAAUCCUAGGGCACCCUCUUUUUUCCUAAAACACAAAACCUUGCUUUCAAAUGCUUGGAAUGUAAACAAUCGGAGGUCUCGGAAGGAUUAAUCCAAAUACCCACCAACAACUUUGAAAGCCUCCUUUUGCUUGUUUGGUUCAAUGUGAUAUCUGGUUGGAUUGGUCGAUCAAUUGAGGACUAGUUCUCCACGGUUUUGUGCUUAUAAGAUGAUAUUUCGAAAUUUGCUGGUUUGGAUUGAGAAUCGUGGAUCUAAAUCGGGAAUCAAUAGGGACUGACCUGAUUGUCAGUCGAAACUGGUAAUCGGUCCACUUCCCAAAGAAUCCCUCAAUUAUUUUAGAGAAUUGGACAAGUUAUGUUAGGGGUCACGAGUGUUUGAAUCGCCUUAAUCUCUCGGUUCCUACCCAUUUUAUUUUUCAGUGUAUUGAUUUUUUAAUUAAAAUUAUUACUUAAGUUUUUUUGGGAUGGGUUGUCAUAUUAGAGAAUAGGUCCAGUUUGCCAAUCUAGACUAAGUUUCUAAAAGGCGAAUUGGCCUAACUGAUGCGGUUUUAGAAACACAACUAUCAAGCAAUUAGGUUAUGCAUCGUUUGACAUAUUAAGUUAGUACUUAAGUAUUUUUGGGAUGGGUUAUCAGAUUAGAGAAUCGGUCCGGUUUGCCAAUCUAGACCAAAAUUCUAAAAGGCAGGUUAGCCCAGCUGAUGCGGUUUUAGAAACACAACUAUCAAGCAAUUAGGUUAAGCAUAAUUUGACAAAUUAAGUGCAUGCUAUUUCUUAUGAUAUAUUGGGUUGGAUACGAACAAGUUUGUUUAAGGAAUAGCAUAAUGGUGGUGAAUAAGUUUAUUGUAUGUUUUUUGAUAGGAUGAAGUUUUUAUAAGGCCUAGGCUUUAUGAAAAUAAAAUAAAGCCUUACCUCAUCUGAAAAGCACUUUCGACAACAUAAAUGUUCAUGAUGGAUCUAAAAUCAAUUUCCAACAACGAUAAUAAAAUUUGAAACUCAAAUAAUGGUACAGAUCUUGCUGAUUGAUGAAUACUUAUUUUUAGGUUGAAAUGGACGCCAUAGAUAAUUUGUUAUAAUAUAUACUAUUUUUAGAGCUUAAAAUCUUCUUCUUCUGUUUUCACAACUAUAAUGUUAAAACCAAAAUGAUUAAUAUAAAGGUUUUUCAAUGCUUGAAUUGUAAUUUUUGAUGAGUUAUGAGAUAAAGCUUUACUUAUUUUAAUAGGGCCACCGCCCUAUCAAACCAUUUUCCUUUUCGAUAUGUUUGUGAUUGUGAAUUUAGUUUUUUUAUCCUUUUGGUAUAUACAAUGCUUAUUUUCAAUAAUCUUUGUGAUGUGGGAGCAGCCAUCUAUAGUUUCAAAUUACAAAAGAGAUAAAUGUAACUAACUAAAAAGAGUGAGAACAUUAAAUGUUUCCCUCACCUGUCUCAAGCCCGGGUAAAUGAGGUGGGUUGUGUUAUGCAAUCAACGGCAAACUUUAUUAGGAUGGGGGCAUGAGUCCACACUAGAUAAGUAUAAAGUUAAGGUUUCCAAAAGUUAUGAAAAAGUAGUGGCGUGGUACUUAUAUUGGCGUGUUCUUUUAUCUUUAUAUACUGGUUAGUAUCAUGAAAAGAAAGGAAACUUGAGUGUUUAGAGAGAGAAAAUUGUAUAGAGAAUAAGUUUUGGUAGGAAAUUGAGUUUUAAGUCAUGGUUCUCUCAAGCAGGUAUCUCGUAAUUUUUUUUAUUUGAAUUAGUGAAAAAACAUUAAUCAUUUUCGUCAGUAAAUGUUGUCAUAUCUGUGACAAACCAUGUAAAAUCUAGUAUUCUUUUUGCUUUUUUUUUUUACUAUUUUAUUUUUGUGUUUGUUACUUCCUUGUUGUCAAAUCUACUUUCUCGUACUUUAUUUGUCAAAAAUCAACCCGCCUGGUUUUAGAGCCUCCAUGUAGAACAGGCGGUAUCAGAGCCUAGUUUUGGAUUGGCGGUAUGGCAGUAAAGAUUUCAACUGCAACGUUCAAGGUGGAAAAUUUUGAUCGUAAAAAUAAUUUCAAAUUUUGGUAAAUUAAUGUUCAAUAAUUUCUAAUGCAACAAAAUUUACAUAAAGCUUUAAAAGGAAAGUCAAAGAAACCAAAUUUCAUGAUAAAUGAGGAUUAGGAAGACUUAGAUUUAAAAGCUAUGAGCACUAUUUAAAUGUACAUAUCGAGUGAAGUGUUGUUUAAUAUCGUCAAUGAAAAUUUAGCAUCAAUUGAAGUAUUGUUUAAUAUCAUCAAUGAAAGUUUGACAUCAAACAUUUGGUUAAAGCUUGAGAUUUGUCUAUAAGGUGGUUUACAUGUUUCGUGGACUUUCUUGUGAAGAUGAUUUUUCUAUGUGCAAUAUUUGUUUACGAAAAUUAGUUCAAAAUGACAAAACCGCAACAGACAUAGCAUGUCUAUAGCGGGGCGAAACAAUGUUUAAAAUCUCUUCGAGGUGUUUUUAAGAGUUUUUCAUAUAUAUAUAUAUGGAAGCCACUACGUAACACCUAUGGGCAAAAAUGAAUAGUGUUUUCGCCCAUAAGUUCGGCGCCAUCCGAUUUUUUUAAACGGCGUGGAUUAAAAGACCGCAACGGACCUACUAUAUCUGUUGCAGUAAAAAAAUACACAGAAACCGCCACGGACCAUGCGUUGUCUCUUGCGGCUCCGUUCAAUAAAUCGUCGUGAUGGGGCGUAACACUGUUAUGUGUGUGUGUGAGCUUCCCUUUUGGAGGUCAGCCACCGAAUGACUUUCAAGGAAAAAAUUUAUAUAAGGAUGAGGCCUUAAAACAAAAACUUGUUGCAUGAUAAGCGGGUGCAAGAAUCUUGUGCCCACUGACUCACAAACGUCCAUCCUAACGAUGGACGUCGAGUAAAGUGUAUUGUCUUUAAACAACACACGAAAAGUGCACAAAAGAUUACCAAAAAAAUUACAUCUUUGUUAAGGGUGCGGUUUAUAUAAAACCGAGGCUCUAAACAAUCAAAAUAAAUUGCACAUUCAAAUAGUAUAAAAAAAAAAAGUGUAGAUUGAGCAGAUCAAUGAAAACUUGGAGAUCUUGAACAUUAACAGUCCAAAAAUACGUUUCAAUAUGCACAUUUUCCAAAACUUAAGAUCCAUUUUUUUCUCAUGUUCAUGCAUCUUGAUGUCGAGAUGAUUGAUUUGAGAAUAUUUGAGCAUCAAAACAACGUCUUCUAGUGAAACUUUUGAGGUGUUUUCUAAUUUGAUUGUUUAGAGCCUCGGCUCUAUAUAAACUUUUUUCUUAAUUUAAAACUUCAUUUUUGUUUUUAUAUUCAUGAUCGUCAUGGCACGGAUGAUGAAUCUAUCAAACAAUUAGAUAAAAAGUCCAUCUUUAAAAUGGAUCUUGGAGGGAGGCUGCAUUUGUACAUAUGAAUCGACUAACUCAUAGAAAUCUCAUCCUAAACAAAAUUAAGGUGCACCGCAAAAAAUCACUAGAACAGGUUUUUUCGGUGCCCAAAAAUCCUCAAAUCGAUCAUCUUGACCUCAAAAUGUGUGGACAUGAGAAAAAUAGAUUUCAAGUUUUAAAAAUAGUGCAUGUUGUAAUGCAUUUUUUUACCAUUCUAAUUUUCAAUGUCAUAAUUNNNNNNNNNNNNNNNNNNNNCCCUAUCCCCCUGUGUGCCUUGCCUCCCACGACUAUGAUUUCAUGACAACCGUUAUAUAGUAAUAUGAUGCAACAACCUUAAAAAACCAUCCUAUAGCCAUUUGUUUGAUCCAAAUUUUGAAACAUACACUCUUUUCAUUCUAAUGAACAAUCAUAAAAAAUAAAAAUAAAAAAAAUUUAAAACACAACCUAAAACAUAUUUUUUUAGCCCAAUUAACAUAGGCAGUUCAUUUUACGAGAUGCUUAGAUCCAGGCCUUAGAAGGAUUUUUUUCAUUUUUCAUUUUUUUUUGGAUGGCUUUAUUAUCAUUAGAUGAACAAUGUUAAAAAAUUAAAAAUAUAUAUAUAUAAAUUAUUUUAAGUUUAUAAAGGCUAAGAUCUUGAAAUUCAGAAAAUGAAUGGUCUAGAUUCAUUUUUAAGGGGGACUCGUGUGUAUUUAAAAUAUAUUUUUAAACAUAUUUUUCAAAAGAAAUUAUUAGGUUCUUUACCUUGACUCAAACUAAUCGGAUCCAAGUCCAAGUCAUUUUCAAAUCCAAAUCGAAUUGGAUACAGGUCAUUUUCAAAUCCAAAUCGAUACCCCACCUGACCCAUUGCCACCCCUUGCGGGAUAUCAUAUCCUACUAUGUGUCUCACAUCCUAGUACUAAAUGAUGUGAUUAAGUGAUCCACUAACUUGUGUCAAAUUUCAAGCUUCAAAAGCGCUUAAAAGUCCCUCAGGCCACACAACCUAUGACUUGCAUUUGCAUAAAUAAAGUGAGAUGUUUGUCCCUAGUAUAUUAAUCCAAGAAACUUUACCUUCUCAAAGCAACCAAGUGAAAAAGGACCAUAUGCUCAUGUAAUCAUAAAAACCUGAAAGCCUGAAAUCCAAAAGGGCAUCCUAUGGGCGCACACAUUCAUCUUUGGAAAAAGUUUAUUUUAAUCUUUAUACCUUAUUUUAAUGUAGGGAUUUUGAAUUCAAAGAAUUUUGUUCCUUAUAAAUGGAUUCAAACAAGAAAAGUUAUGUGAAAGAAGACGUCAGGGUCAGUGGGUCGAUUGAUUAGAUUACUGACUUUCUUCACAAUCAAAAGUCUUUGCCCAAGUGCAGGGAGAAAUAAAAACUUUAACAUUUAUUAUCGCAAUUCUUUUCAACAAAAAACAGAUGGCUAUUGAUGAGGGCUAUUAAUUGCUUCAGGUUAAUUUGUAAAAAUUAUAUUUAUUUGAAAAUUUAGGUAUCGAUAUUACUCUCACACCUAUAAUACCAUAAAAAAUGGCUUAUAAAAUUAAAUGAACCAAAAUCUCUUAAAUAUUUAAGAGUAUUUUUUUUUUUUGUCAAUUAAUGUUUUAAAUGAUUUCUUUUAUUGUUUGUGUGCGCCUGAGUGUGGUGCGGCAUAUCAGUUUAAUAUUUAGAAAACAAAUUCUUUGAAUUUGUUCAAUUUCUAAUUUGAACUGUCGGAAGGUGUUUGUACAACUAUAUCUACCAUAAUUCAUUUUAUAAUCUGAACCAAUGAUUUAGAAAUCGGCGAGUCGAACCGAACUCACUCGGUUCAACUCAAAAAUCGGCACAGCCCGUGCCAGUUCCAGUAAAAAACCGAGAACCGCCCGGUUCUAGAGUAAAACCGACGAUUCCUACGCAGUUCUGUCUGGUUCCCUCACGCAUGAGGCACGCACCACUCCCGCACGUGUAUACGUGUGACACGAGCGGUAUACACUCCCAUACACACUCCCAUAGUUAAGUUCACAUUUCUAAUUUGAACUGUCGAAAGGUGUUUGUACAGUCGAAAGGUGUUUGUACAGCUAUAUCUACCAUAUUUCAUUUUAUAAUCUGAACCAAUGAUUUAAAAAUCGGAGAGUCGAACCGGCCAUAAUUCAUUUUAUAAUCUAAACCAAUGAUUUAAAAAUCAACGAGUCGAACCGGACUCGCCCGGUUCAACUCGAGAAUCGGCACAGCUCAUGCCUGUUCCAGUACAAAAUCGGGAACCGCUCGGUUCUAGAGCAGAACCGUGUUUCCCACCCGGUUCUGUCCUGUUCCCUCACGCGUGAGGCACGUACCACUCCCACACGCACUCCCACACGUGCACCAGUUCUAGACAAUUCAGUCCUCAAAAACACCUUCACAUGUGUGUACACGUCACACGUGCGACACAGACCACUCCCACAUGUACCACACGUGGGACACGCACAUGCACACGUGCAUGUGCACAGAUGCCCUAGUGCUUUUACACUUGUGUUUAUCUUCCAAUUACAUAGUUAUUUAUAUAGCAUAUUUGAAUACUCNNNNNNNNNNNNNNNNNNNNNNNNNNNNNNNNNNNNNNNNNNNNNNNNNNNNNNNNNNNNNNNNNNNNNNNNNNNNNNNNNNNNNNNNNNNNNNNNNNNNNNNNNNNNNNNNNNNNNNNNNNNNNNNNNNNNNNNNNNNNNNNNNNNNNNNNNNNNNNNNNNNNNNNNNNNNNNNNNNNNNNNNNNNNNNNNNNNNNNNNNNNNNNNNNNNNNNNNNNNNNNNNNNNNNNNNNNNNNNNNNNNNNNNNNNNNNNNNNNNNNNNNNNNNNNNNNNNNNNNNNNNNNNNNNNNNNNNNNNNNNNNNNNNNNNNNNNNNNNNNNNNNNNNNNNNNNNNNNNNNNNNNNNNNNNNNNNNNNNNNNNNNNNNNNNNNNNNNNNNNNNNNNNNNNNNNNNNNNNNNNNNNNNNNNNNNNNNNNNNNNNNNNNNNNNNNNNNNNNNNNNNNNNNNNNNNNNNNNNNNNNNNNNNNNNNNNNNNNNNNNNNNNNNNNNNNNNNNNNNNNNNNNNNNNNNNNAGGCAAUUUUAAACACAUAUGCUAAGGAGGCAUGAUGGUUAUCACUAAUAUUAUUUGCUUUGACUUUUAAAGUUCAAAUCCCCCCUUAGGCCAUAUAAUUUUUGUUUCCCCUUGGACAUAUAAUAAAUUAAAGUGUUAUUUUCAACCCUUCUUGAGCUAAUUUUUGUUCCCCUUGAGCAUAUAAUAAAUUAAAGUGUUAUUUCUAAAAUUUGUACGCAUUUUAUUAAUUCUUACAUUGAUAAUCAAAUCUUUUAUUUUAUUUAUUAAUUUUUACAUUAUAAAUCAUGUAAUGUACUAUUUUUCUUACAUUGUCAAUCAUAUAUUUUAAAUUAGAUAAUAUUAUAAAUUUUUUAAAAUUUGUUAUUAUUUAUCUAAUAAAAUAAUUAUAAAAUGUAAACUAAUAAUUAUAAUUUCAGUAUAUAAUAUUAUAAUUAGUUAUGUUGUAAUAAUUUUGGAUUAUAGUUAGUUAGGCUGUAAUAAUUUAGGUUUUUUUAGCUGACUAGGGUUUUUUGCCAAAACAAGAUUUUAAUGGCCAUUCUUUCAUUGAUUUAGUCUAUUAUUUAUUAUAGUCCAUGUAUAAUUAUAUAUUUUAUCCAUGUUAAUUCUAUGAUUUUUCUUUUAUGUUAUGUAAAUUUAAUCCUUAAGUUUAUACAGGCAAAAAGCAUCUCAAUAUUCACAAAUUGAUGAAAAAAAUAAAAGGUAAUAAUGUAGUACCAUCAUUUUUUAUUGGAUUCCUAAAAAACAACAUUUAUAAUGAAUUUUAAUAAUUUUUUUAGAUUUUUUAAAGCUUUAAUCCGACCGAUCCAGUCGAUUUCCAAUCUAAAUCGUCGAUUCACCGAUCCGAAUCGAUUUUUGAGGUACCCCAUCCAAGUUACCGAUCCGCUUUUUAAACCAUUGAUCCGAAGUGUUGGAAGUGCUCGUGCCCUGAUUGAAAACAUAGGAAACCUCAAAUGGAAAGCAUAUUGAUUAUCCAUCAUACUGUUGGAAAUCUAUUGAGUUGCCGAUCAUCAUCAUGUCAUGUGAGUGAGACUUAAAGGGAAAAGCAUAGUAUGUUACUGCUGAGAAUCUAGUGUUGCGCCCAUCCUUAUCGAAUCCCUACGAGAGAGAGAGCGCUUGAGCAAUCAUAUAUAUUUAUUUGUCUUUUUACAUGUCCAAGUCAUUCUCCAUCGCCGUCCAUCCUUUGAAUCGAUAAUGAUAACAUUUUUUUGCCUAAUAUUUUAAUGCUUAUAUGGAUCAUAGCACAAUUUCUUUAUGGUAAAUUGUCCUCGGUUACUCAAUAUGUAAAGGGUGCGGUUUCCAUGAGGUUGCAACAUUAAACAAUCCAAUUAAGACGUAUCUUCAAAUUUGUUCAUAACCUAUAAUGUUGAUGUAAAACAUUCUUAAGAUUAUCUCAAAAUCUAUUUUCAUAUCUAAUUAUAAAUUUUUAAACUAUAAAAAUAGUUAAAAUCAAGUAGAUCUAUAAACAUAUGAAAAUUUAAAAAAUAGAUGGUCUAGAUAAUAUGUUGUAAGAUGCACUACUUUUGGGACUCAAGAUCCUUUUUUCUUUCAUAAUCAUAUAUCUCGAUGUCGAGAUACUCAAUUAGAGGUUUUUUAUUAAAAUAACAUUUUUCAAUAGAUUUUUGAGGUGCAUCCGUCGUUUUACAUUUUAAAGUUGCAACUUUAUAUAAACUUUUUCCAUAGAAUAAUGAUCCUAUAAGACCUCCCACACACCAAUGUAUAUAGGAUCCUAAAGGAUCACCAUUAAAUUUGACACGGGUCUUUAUAAAAGAAAUCUCAUAUCCAUGUGAACUUUUCUAGAUAUAUAUGUCAAUUUAAUGAUGAUUCUUUGGUGUCCUACCCACAUGAAUGUGGGAGGAUCUCAUAGGAUCAUUACUAUUUCGGAGUAAUAUGCAUAUAUAUUUUCCUCCCGUAUAAAGAAAGCAAACCACUUGAAAAUAUUUAACAUGUAAAAUAUAGGGAAAUUAUAAUUUGAGGGAUCUCUUACAAAAUCAUUAAAGGCAAAACAUCCGAAUUGGAGUUCACUUUUAAAAUUUUCAUUCACUGAGGUCUAAACUAUAUUUUUGAAAUGCCCAAAUUGACCCUAACUCGAUAAGGGUAUUUUAAUAGUUCAACUAGGAUGCCUUAAUCAAAUGAUAGGAGUACUCUUACUUGUAUAGGGUGGGUCAGUGACAAAUCAAAUGUACAUCCUAAGGAUAAAUAUAAAAAGAUAAUAGUCCCACAAAAAAAAUAAAAGAAAAAUAUAUUUGUAGACCCCAUGUUUAAUAUUCAUUUCUCUAUGGGUCCAAAGUUUUGAAAGGUAUCCUCUAACCUCCAACAUAUUUUAUUCAUUUUAUCCCUUUUUUUUGCCCAAACAAGUUUUAAAAAAUAUCAUUUUAAAAUCCCUCUUUCCCUCUCCCCCUUAUGUCCAAACCCCUCUCUCCCCAUUUCCCUCUCUCCCCAUUUUUCCCCAAGUAACAUAAGAUAUUGUUUUUCUCUUUCACGCAAUGGAUUUUAUUAUUACAAUGAUGCUCAUUGCGCUAUCAUUUUGAGCCCAACGUUCUUACAUAGCCAUGAUAGUGAUGAGGGCUCUCUCAGCUUUUAGGCAUGGAUUAUUCAUUGGGGCUUCUUAUGUUCAGGAGAUAUUUUUGCUCUCCAAGAGAAAAAUGCGAGAUCUUCACCAGUGUUUCUUUUUCUCAUGACUCUCUUUUUGAUACACGAAUAAAUAAAUAAAUAAUAUAUAUAUAUAUAUAUAUAUCAAAGCAUGCUAUGAGACCCCUGUCAUUCUACAAUAAACCCACAGUAAAAAGCUCAAAAGUUAUUUCACCAUUACCAUCACUCUUCUAAACAAAGCAAAAGAAACGAGAAACCCAAAUAAAACAAACAUCCAAAUUCUUCCGCAAACCAAACCCGAUAAAUUUAAACCCUAUAUACCGAAGGAGUUACUACUACACAUGGGGCUUCUUCAACUUUCAUCUCUUUCAGGGCUUCCAAAUGAAGAAGGUAAAGACGAGUUACCAGCAUGUGAUCCAUUCGCUCUCUCCUAUUUUCACAGUGGGCAAGGCAUCCACUGCUUCUUUCGUGGUGGGAGGAGUCCCAUAUCUUUCGGGAUCAUUCUCAGCUAAGUGUUGUAACAGAAGUACUGAAUCUACCAUGUGCAUGACUGACUCCCUAUAAGUUGUGUAGGUCCGACACAAACAAAUACUACUGAAGUUUAUAGUAUGAUAUCAAAAAUAUUAAAGAUAUCUAUAUAAAGUACAAAUUAAAAACAUCUAUUUAUUUAUUUUUACAUGUUAAUGUUUCCCAUACUAGAGAUUAUGUAUGUCUUAAAACAUGGUUCAAAAUCAUGGAAGGGGUGCAUAUCUCAUACCCGUUAGCCGACAAAAAAAAAAAACAUGACCUAAGUUGAGUCCCAAAUUCACAAUAAUACCUAUUGGGCUUUUAUUGCAUCGAGAAAGAGGUUUGAUUGUACAUCUUUUACAAAGUAUUCUCUGGAUAAUUUAAAUCUAAAUAAUUUGAUAUCGCCUAUAUGACAUGACCGAUAGAAAGAAAUAUUCCAAACCUCUAUUUUUGUCAUAUAUUUCAUGAGAAAUGAUCAUAUAAGAUGCUUCCCAACCCAUAUGUAUAAGACUUCAAAUGAUCAAUAUUAAAUUUGAUAUUGAUAUAUAAAAAAAUUAAAUUCCUCACUCGUGAUAAUUUGUCUAAAGAUCCGUAACAACUUUAAUAAUAAUCUUUUGAUAUCUUAUACAUACGGGUGAAAAAAAAUCCUAUAGGACCGUUACUCAUAUUUGAUACGAUAGAUGAUAUUAAACGAUCGGUUUUCAAGAUGGCUUAAUGGCGAAAUGAGAAGAACAUGCGUUUUUGACCGUACUGACAAGCUUACUUCUAAAAGUUAUUACAUUUCUCCAGGUGCUCACUGAGGGAUAUCCGUGAUAUUCUAUAUGAUUAUUGAGGGUAAAACUAUCCACUGCCUAAACGCACAGAAUGGGAGCAGCGUAGGCUUAUUUUUUGCUACUGUUCACGUGAUGAACAACAUACUUUUUUUUUUUUCACGAUAUUUUAUGCGAAUAUUCUGGGUAUUUUUAUUAAAUGCAACAAAUGGGCCCCAUCAGGCGACGGACAAUCCUCCGUACGAUAUGCCUUUAUUCUGCCUUCACGUCGAGACUGCAGACGAAGAGACGUUUUAAAUCUCUUGUGCCCCCUUUCGAGAUAAGGAGAUAAGUAUCCCGUCUACGUCACGUGUACCCUUUCAAGAUCCGACAGGGCUACAUUCAACAUGUAAAAGUUCAUCUCAUAAUUUUUUUUAUUUAAAUAAUAUCUUUUAUUUGAAUUUUUAAAUCUAUUUGCUUUUUUAUUAGAAUAACAGUAAUAUGAGACCCUUCCAUAGUAGAGCAUUAAGCCAUUGCCAUUAAAUUAUUUACAUACAUUUAGAGAAGUUACCAAUAAAUUUAUCCACCUAAAUCUUUCAUAUAUGUGAUAAUUUUUUUGGAAAUCUAUGUUCAAAUUUAAUAAUAAUAUUUUAAAAUAUGAUUCAUAUGAGUGUGGAAGGGUUUUGUCGUAUCAUUAUUUUUUUACAAAUAUAAUUAAAUAAUUAAAUAGCAAUAAUUUUAUAAAACCCUCCCACACCCAUGCGUAUAAAACUUUAAAAGAUCAGUAUUAAAUUUGGUACAGAUAUCUAGAAAAAUCAAAUCCCACACGAUAACUUUUGUAAAUAUUUGUACCAAAUUUAAUGGUAAUCAUUUGAGAUCCUACACACAUAAAUGUGGAAAGAUCUUAUAGGAUCAUUGUACAAGGAGGUCACAACUUACAACUACUCAUAUUCAUUAGAUGUCAAAUUGCAUGGCUUGAUAAUAAUUUUUUUUGAAAUUUUUUAUCUAAUCAAUGACACUUUGAUAAUUACUUAUUUUGAAAUCUAAAUAACAAUAAUAAUUGUGAUAUUUUUAUACAAAAGGUAAAUUGUAUGUUUGUAGAAAAUCCUACAAAUUUUUUCUUUUAUAACUCCAAAAACUUUUAUUUUUGCAACUUCCUCUAAGUCAAAGUAGGAUCUUUUACGACAAACACACCACAAUACAACGUAUAUUUUUUAGGAUAAUAAUUAAAAUAGUCUGACACACAUUGUACUGGACCAUGGACCAGUAUCAUUUAAAUCAAGUAAAAAUACGUGAGAAAAACAUCUAUUUCAAGAGGUAAUUUCAUUUUAAAACACACUACCCUUUACAUUUUAAAGAUAAUUAUAAAAAUAAAUACUUUUGAAAUUAAUAAUAUAGUUAUAAAAAAUAUCAAGGGAUGACAGGCCUAGAAAGUGUGUGGUCAUGAUGGGCAUUUAUGACUUUCCUUUUAAAAUACUUUUGUAUAGAGGGCUAGUGAUAUGAUGGCCGAUAUAUCGGAUCAGGAUUUAAAAUAUGUAAUAAUUAUUUUUAAAAAAUAACGGUGGAAAAUAUUUUGAUAGGUUGCUUCCUUCUGCACCAAAUAAUAUGUACUAUUUGAGUAAUAUGAAUUUCUCACAAAUGUUAACCAAAGAAAUUGCGGCAUGUAGAGCCCCAAUAAGUUUCAUUGGAAAAUGUGUUUUUGACAUUGAAAAUCUCUCAAAUUAAUAUAUCAAUCUCGAGUCUUCAAGAUGCAUGGAUGUGAAAAUAAAAAGAAAGGAUUUCUAAGUCUAGAAAAUAAUACAUUUAUUAUUGUAUUAUCUUAAUGUUUAUUUUUUAGAUUUUUAAAUGUUCAUAUGUUUGCCCCAUUUACCAAAAUUUUGAAGCUUUAAAUUUCAUAACUACACUGCAAACCAUAACAUGGAUUUAUGAUAGUGAAAUAACAUCUUUGGGCGUCAUUUAGGGUGUGUGUUACUUAAAUUAUUUGAAGUGCUAACCUUGUACCAGUGUAGUAACUCAGGCUCGCCCUAGCGAGCCUGAGUAUCCCCGAGUAAGUUGUCCCAUUCAAAAAUUUUAAGGAAAAAAAAAAAUUAGAAAAAAAAAUCUAUUUAUAAAAUAUUUUUUAUGUGUUCUAUCACUUUGACAAAGAUUGGAAAGUAUUGUGGCUAUAAAUAUUUAAUUUUAUAAUUUUUUUUCUUUUUGGGAUAUUUUGAAAAUACUUCCAAUCACAAAUUGAUUUGUUCAAAAUCUAUAUAUUUACUCCCUUUUAAAUCUCGUUUAGAUGUGUUUUGUCUAAUUUUACUUUAAAAGCAUAUUUCUGUUUUUUUUUUAAAUUUUUAUAAUUUUAAAAGACUAACUUUUUUUUAUAGCCGAGUACUUAACGGCCGAGUGUCGUUCAAUCGAACAUUGCCUUUUACAAGAAGGGUGUGGUUUGCAUAGAGGCUCUAAACAAUCGAAGUAGAGCCCACCUUUAGAUAGUGUUCAUAAAUUUGGUUUUAACAUUGAAAAUCUUUGUGAUUGCCUUAAAUAUAUUUUCUGUCUGAUUAUAAAAUUUAAGACCUAAAAAAUAACGUAGAUCAAGAAGAUCUAUGAAAAGUUGAAAAUCUUGAAAAUUUACGGUUUAAAAAUGCGUUACAAGUUGUACUACUUCUAAUUUUUUCACUAAUUAUAAAAUUUAAAACCUAAAAAAUAAUGCAGAUCAAAAAGAUCUAUAAAAAAAUUAAAAAUCUUAAAAAUUUACGAUUUAAAAAUGCGUUACAAGUUGGACUAUUUCUAAACUUGAAAUGCAAUGUUUUGUCACGUCGCAUCAAAACAGUCCCUCCUAGUGACAUUUUUUAGGGGGGCUCUAAUUUGAUUGUUUAGGGCCUCGGCCCUAUAUAAAUACUGCUUAACUUCUGUAAUAUAUUUUUAGAAGCCGUCACUUUAAUACAUAACGGCCAUUAUAAAAAGUUGCCAAUAUUGACCGAUAGGGAACGUUGAUUCCGUAAGGUACACGUUCGAUCUAUCAAAAACGACCGUUAUAUCUAACGUUUAAGCAUUUUGUUCGACUACUCCCGAAACAAAAUAAAUAACGAGGAAUCAUGAAAAAAAAUAUGGAGACAACAAUUUUGAAUGGAACAAAAAAUUGACCACCUAGAAAAACAAAAAAAGUCAUCGUAAACGAAUUGUAUAAAGUUGCCUCCUUAUACCAUAAAAAUAUGGAAUUGCAUAAGGUUGCCUCUUUAUACUAUAAAAAUAUGGGGCGCAUAUAAAAUUUACUUAAGAGGCGUCGUUUCGGUGUUGAAACCGGCUUGAAAAAUCACUUUUCAUCCUAGAGUAUAAAAUUUAAACUUUAAAGAAUUGUACAGAUCAAGUGAUUCAAUAAAUACUCGAAAAUCUUGAAAAUAAACGGUCUAGAAAACUAGUUAUAAGAUCCACUAUUUUUUGGACUUAGAAUUCUCUUUUUUUUAGGAGAGAAUUUUCCACUCGCCAAAAGAUUUCAUUCUCCCACAAAAGCAUGUUGUCAUGUCCGUUCAUCACAAUGUCGAGAUGAUCACUAGGAGGCUUCUUCAACGCCGAAACACUCUUCUCUAUACAAUUUUUGAGGUGCGCCUUACUUCAACAGUAUAAGGCUGCGGCUUUAUAUAAACUUUUUCCACUUAAAAUUUGUAUACAAAUUGUUACAAAGGAUAAUGAGGAGAUUUCAUUGGUUUAUACGAGGUCAAGAUAAUAAGUAAGACCAAUUAAUUGUGAAUAAAUCAUACUAACUUCAAAAUAUUAAUGAAAUCUACAUUUUUUUAAUAUCAAGGUUUUAAAAAAUAGAUCGGUGAUUCGAAUCGAUUACAUCCAUAUCCGUGUCGAAUUGGGAGAAUCGAUGGAUCGGAUCGAAAGAAUCACCAGAAUCGGUAAUUUUUGUUUCAAAUUUUUUAAAAUUAAUUCAAGAAGAAAUUGAUCAUCCUUUUUUUUUCUUUUAACUCGGUGAAAAAUCGAUCGAAAUCAGUGAAGAAUCGGCCGGACAUGGUGAAGAAUCAUCAGAAUCGGUAGUUCCGCAAAAAAAUCGACGAUUCUACUAUUUGGAACCACCUUUUUUUUACCUAAUCCGAAUUGCCUAAUCGGGUCACCGAUUUUUUAAACCUUCCUUUAUAUACGUACCGACGAAAACGCUUUGAUACUUCCUCCAAUGAUAAAAUUCGUGUGUGCCUUAUCCACUUGACACACGGUUAGGUUCUCUACCCACUAUCUUACCGACACUAGAAUAUUUCUUCAUUAGGGACAGAGCAGGUGACUUUUGAUUUUGAUUGAGAGUUGAAGAUAGAGACCAAAUGAUCUUGCAUCACUAAUAUAAAUUCAUAUUAAAAAGAAAGGUUUCUAUACUUUCCCUGAUCCAGCUGUCCAAUUUAAAUUAAGUAAGUUAAUGACUGAUUGAUCUAGAUUUUAUGUUUUAUAAUAUUUUAUUUUUAAUUAUUUUUUACAAAUUAUAUGAGUGAAAAUUUUGGCACAUGUUAUUUAAUGGGGCGCACCUCAAAAAAAAAUUAAAAUAUAUUUUGAUAAAAUAUAAUGUCCAAAAUGCCUGUAAAACUUUUAAAAGAAUUUUGGUCAUUUUACUUUAUUGAGUAUAUUUUUUUAUAUUUUUAACAGCUACGGGUUCAAGAGAGGAGUGGAUGCCCAAAAUUUGGUAUCAAAAUAUUUUUCAAAAAAACUACUAAAACUAAAUAAUAUAGAGGCAUGACAUUACGAUUGAGGCAAUCUUAACCGCCCAUUCAGAAUGGACUUUUGGACAGGGGAAUUAUAUAAGUUUUGUACAGUGAGAAAAAUAUAAAAAGCUCGAUGUAAUGAUUAUUUAUUAAAGUUGCAAUUUGCAAAUACUAACUAAGUGAAAAGUUUAUAUAAUGCAUCCACUUUGUAUUAUAAAAGUAAGGCUCACUUUGAAAAUCCUUCAUAUAGUGGUUGUUCUGAUACUCGAAAAACCCCUAAUUGAUCACAUCGGCUUUUAAAUUAUGAAAGUGCAAAAAAAAAAAAAAAAAAACAAAGGUCUUAAAUUUUAAAUUAUGAAAGUGCCAAAAAAAAAAAAAAAUCUUAAAAUUAGUAUAUCUUGUAACACAUUAAUGAGACCGUCUAUUUUCAAGAGGACCAUGUUUCUAUGCAACCAAGCCCGCAUAUUAAAAAAUACGGGCCUCUUAAUAAAUGUAUUUCUGAGAUGGAUUUUACGACUUAAUUUCUAACGACCUGUAAUCUCUAACAUAGAGAUCAUGAAUAUGAAUGAAUAGAUAAAUUUUAAAAACUAAAAAUAACAAUUCUAAUAAAAAAACAUUUGGACCAUUAGUGUCUAUUGUUUUUAUAUGGAACACCUACUUGCAUCCAUCUUUAACAAUGCUUUAUACUUUCUAGACUGUAUAUGUAGAAAAGCCGUCCAGCCCACAUAAAACAAUUUUUCUUUUCAAAAUUUUCAAAUGUUUAUGGAUAAACUCAAUAUGAACUAUUUUUUAAACUUCAAAUUUCAUGAUUAGAAGCGGAAAUAUCAUUUCUGAAAUCAAUACUACAUCUUUAAGUAGGUUUCGAAGUGAUACAUACUUGGACUAUUUAAGAUAAAUAAAUAGGAAAUGAGAACUUGGUGGUGGAACAACUUGGGCCGCUCUUUAAUAGAUACCUCAAAAUCAUAAUGAGAUGGGAUUUGAAGCAAAGCUUUUUAAGCCAUGAAAACACGUAGUUUCUUCAUUACAGUUAUUUCUAUGAAAUCAGGCCCAGCCUCAACUAACCGAUAAUUUUAGAGAGGCGGCCUUUUUUUUUGUUUACCCUGUUUCGACGCGGCUAACCCCGCGUAUGUAGAAAUACGGACCUAUUAAUAAAUUUAUUUUUUAUAUGUAUUUUUGGACUUAAUUUUUAAGGACAUGUAAUCUCUAACAUAGAGAUCAUAAGCAUGAAAAAAAAAAAAAUUUGAAAACUAAAAAUAAUAAUUCUACUAAAAAAAUAUUUGGAUCGUUAUUUUCCAUUGUUUUUAGAUGGAACACCUACUUGCAUCCAUUUUUAAGAUGGAUGCUUUACACUUUUUGGACCGCAUAUAUAAGCAUGCGAUCCAGCAUGUAUGAAACAUAUUCCUUUUUUUUUUUGGUGACUACACAGAGAGAUGGGCUUUUAACUACAAAAUUUUUCGUACAUUUACUCUAGGAGCAAAGAAGCGCGUGAUCGAGAGCCCAAAUUGGUACAUCAAAUGUGAAAUUUGACCGUCUGAGGUGUCAUAAAGUUCAACCUUCUUCUUCUCUUUCUUUUUUUUUUUUGCACUUUCAUAAUUUAAGAGCCGAUGUGAUCAAUUAGGUGUCAUAAAGUUCAACUUUUUUUUUGUUUUGUUUUUUUAACUCUAAGCAGAAUCGGUGGAAGCUCAAGGCCACUUAAUUUUAUCCAACAAUUAUAAUUGAUUGAGACUUUCUUGUGUACCAAAGAUAAAUAGUUUUAGGGUGUGGUUUUUAUAAGGUUUCAGCCAUAAACAAUUCAAUUAAGGCGUACCUCCAAAAUUUAUUUUGACAUGUAAUUUUGGUAUAAAAAGUUAUUAGUAUUAUUUGAAAAUCUAUUUUUAUCUCUAAUUAUAAAAUUUUACACUCCAAAUAUAAUUAAAAUCAAGUAGAUCUAUAAACAUAUGAAAAUCUUGGAAAUGGAGGGUUUAUGGCAAUGUUUUUGGGACUCAAAAUCUUUUUGUUUUCCAUAAUCAUACAUCGAUGUUGAGAUGAUCGAUUAGAGGGUUUUUCAAUAUUACAACGACUUUUCUUAAUGGAUUAUAUAAUUCUACAUUUUAAAGUUGCAACUUUAUAUAAACUUUUUCCAUAGUUUUAUCAUACAUAUAUAUAUAUUUCCCAUUAUAAACUGUCAAUCACAGUUCACACGGUUCACACCUCAUAAAAUCAUGAAAAUUUGCAAUUGAAGCAUAGAAAAACUUUUACAUCUCCCCUUUAAACAUUAUAGUUGGUGAAAAAUAUUUAAAAUUUAAAUAUAUAAAAAUAGUGUAUAUUGUAACAAAUUAUGUAGACAGUUCAUUUUGCUUUCAAAAUAAGUUUUGGAAGAUCAAUACUAUUUUUUGAAUUUCAAAUUUUAUUGCCGGUCUUGAACAUUGAUUUUAGAGCCGAAUGAGAAUUUGAGGUGAGCCUAGAAACUUCAUUCUUUUUUUGAAAGUAAACAUCCACUAAGUCCCAAAUUUUCACAAAACAAAAUUAUUCUCAGCAUGCUCCCCCAGGACCAUCCUAAAGUCACCAUAUGAAAACCAUUUUUUUGGGGUUAAAUUGGAGGUGCAGAUUCACUUUCUUCCGUAAGGCCUAGGCCUCAUCUCAGGCCUUCUCGAUCACUAUAAUAUUGAAACAUGGGCUGCUAACGAUAAUGAGGGUGAAUGUUACUAGACUGUGCUGACCACGUGCCCCUCCUUUUACCCUCAUCCUUUCACUUCUACUUUCUUUGUGGACCCAUUCGCCCGCCAUGAUUCUUCCUCUCUCGCUCUACUUUUCAAAGUUUUUAAAAUCGCAUUUCUUUAUUCAUAUCUAUUGGCAUAUAUCCAUUAAGAGUCUUUCUUUAACACAUCAGUCACAAGACUUUCUACCUCAUAUGUCUAUAAAUUCCCUACCCACCAUUGUUUUUCUUUCUGAACCAGAGCGUCCAGUUACUGUAAAAAGAAGAGGGAAGCUCGUGUUAAUGGCCGUCUCUAAAGGGUUUUUGGUGCUAUUGCCGCUUGCCUUUGUGGUGGCCAUAUCCACCAUUGCAACAGCUCAGAUAUCUGAUCUUCCUAUUGUGUCGGGGCUCUCAUGGAGUUUCUAUGAAUCUUCAUGCCCUAAACUUGAAGAAAUUGUUAGAAAGAGACUGAAACAGGUCUUCAAGAAGGACAUCACCCAAGCUGCCGGCUUGCUCCGUGUCCAUUUCCAUGACUGCUUUGUUCAGGUGACCGACUCUUUUUAACUUUUUUCUUUUUUUUUUGUUGGUGAUAUUUGCCUCUAUCUCAGUCAUUUUGUGUUGUAUUGGCGUCUCUCUCUCUAACGGUCUCACCCAAUACCUCUCUCGUGGUUGUUAAUGAGGCGGCAUAUGGGCCGCGUAACCCGCUCAAAAAAAACCAGGCUAAAACUAGGGCAGGACGAUGGCCCGGCCUUGUGCAGGGCAGAAAAACUAUGACCCGAUGGUAGGACCAGGCUGAAACAUGCCAAUCUCGGUUCGCCACAAGGCUUUUUAUUUUUUUUCUUUUUUUUUUUGGGUUAUAUGGCCGAACUGGCCUUAAUAGGAUUAUGGACCGGGCUUGUGCUCUCUCCAUGAGGCCGGGGAGAAAAGUCAUGGCCCGAGGGUAGGACUGGGCUAGGCUGGGUCCAUGGCCGGUUGGGUCCUCCCCAGACCUUUUUUUUUUUCUUUAUGUUUUUUAUUUGGCUUAGCCAGCCUUAAUAGGGCUAGGAGCCGGGCCUGGGACAGCCCCAUGGGACUAGGCUCCCGCCCGGUACCCCUCUGUUAAAAACAAAAAAAAAAAACUCUUUUUUUUUUUUUUGAAAAUGGGUUAAAUCAUCUUAUUUAUGUGAUUAUUUACGGGUGAAAAAUGUGUGUUUUUAGGGUUGCGAUGGGUCGGUAUUGUUGGAAGGAUCAGCAAGCGGGCCCGAUGAGAAGGAUGCGCCCCCCAACCUCACUCUGCGCCCCGAAGCCUUUAAAAUCAUUGAGGAUUUGAGAAGACGGGUUCACAAGAAGUGCGACCGCACCGUCUCCUGCUCAGAUAUCACUGCCCUUGCUGCUCGUGAAUCUGUUUUCCUCGUAUGACUCUUCCUUAUAUAUUCUCAUGUAUCAUCUUCCUUACUUUCUUUAUUUUUAUAUGAAGAGAGCGUAUCAGGUGAUAGUGAAAGCCACCAAAACAAAAGGGAGUUUUAUUUUACUUUUUCAAUGGCCCAAAAUUGGCGUUUUUUUCUUUUUUUCCCCCUUCCAAAAAGCAAUUUCAUUAGAAAAAGAAAAAAUUAUUGGAGUCCAGAAAUGCUCCAAAUCAACUCCCCUCGCAAAGAAGACAAGUCUUUGAACCGGAUGAGGACGAAUGUUUUUUAAGAACUCGAUAGUCUUUUCAAAAAUAUCCGGGUGAACGGGUGAUGAUCAUAAGAUUAUCUUUUUGCCAAAAAUAUUUUUUUUGCCAGAAGAUAUUUGUUUUUUAACGGGGAAUUUCCCUUUUUUUUCCUGAAGAUUUCAUUCUCCAAUAGGAGCAUACUAGCCAUUUAUUGUCUUAGAUAUAACCCGAAUAAUUGAAUAAAGCCCGAAUAAUUGUAUAACCCUUAUUUUGGGAGGUAAUUUUGACCCAUAACUAACUUCAAUAAAAAAGGAAGUGAUNNNNNNNNNNNNNNNNNNNNUAUUAGUAGGGCAGUACCUUAAAUCUUGGGGAACAAACAUGCUAAAGAAAAAACUAAAAAGCAAAAUGUAAAAAAUUAGUUAAAACUUGAGUUGUUCCAAGGGGCAAUAUUGAAAAAAAGUGAGUUGAUUGACCUUCUCUAUAAUUUCUUCAUAUAAAUAGAGCAUUUCAUAUUUGACUUAAAAUUUUAGGUUUUGUAUGUAAUUAUCACUCUACUAAUAACUUUGCGAGUGGCACGCUUUUAUGCUCUUAGAAAAAAUGAUCUCUUGGAUGAAUAGAAACAUUUUUUUUGAUAGUGAGAUCUAAGUGUUAGAAAGCUAAAAAUUCAAAAAAAAAAAUUCUUUUAAAAAUAACCAUACUAUAGUUCUUAGGUGGUUCCCAAAAUUUCGAAGUAGAGAGAAAAAAAUUCUUCCCAAAUAGGCCAUCUUGCCCAAAUAGAGUGGGUAUGGGAUAUUGUGGUUUUCCAUAGUACUUGUGAGGAAAAUUUGCUUAUAUUUUUCUCACUGUUUUGUUCUCUCCAUUGUCUGAUAUAGUUACUAUGUAAAAAUUGCCUAUUCUAUUUAUGGAUACCUCUCAAAUGAAUUUUGUAGGUAUUCUAUUUUCAAUAUUUUCAGCAUCGCACCUAUAUCUCAGUUUUUUUUUUUGGUUUUUCCUGAAGAAUUACAAAUACUCUAUUAUUUCAACUUUGGAUGCAUCCUACUCUUAAUAUUUUUUUGUAUUAUAUCUUAAACUCAGACACUUUUUUUUUUUUUACCUCCAGCCAAAUAGUCAAAAGCAUUUUGAUACCAAAAUACCAAUUUUUUUUUCUUUGCCCUUUUUCUUUUUCUUUCUUAUUUUAUUUUUGGUUGUCUUUAUAGACACAUGAGCCUUAUUUUUUUUCUCUACCUCCCUCCGUCCAUAUCUCUCUCUCUCGACCCACUUUCACUUUCUCCUGCGUUCUUUACCCUCCCUCGUUAUUUCUCUCUCUAGAAUUCACUUGUCCGUAAUGUGGUCCGACACCAUCACUCUUUUUUAGAGAGAAAAAAAAUGAAUGAGGGUAUAGAGAAAAAAAAAAUUAUAUUUUAAUCUUAAAACUAUUUGAUUGGGGAUAAAUACAAAAAAAAAAAUAAUGAUGUAAUUUAGGGUAUAAUACAUAAAGUAGUGAGAUUGAAUGGGUAGAAAGUUGAAAAAAAAAUUUCAUUGUUUUUAAAGACUAUCUGACCCUUUCCCUUUUUUUACCAUACCCGUUAAACGUCUCUCUCUCUACCUUUUCUGCGAACAAAAAAAAAAAAGAGGGUGGGCAGAGAGAUUUAAUGGCCAGACAAAGUGGAAUUUAGUCUUUAAAACAAAUUUUUUUUUUUUUAUCUAUGGGGGGAUAAAAAUGGCCAGAGAAAGUGGAGUUUAGUCUUGAAAAGAAUGUUUUUUUAAUUUAUUUAUUAUUAUUUAAUUUAUUUAUUAUUAUUAUAUCGGGGAUAAAAAUAGCAAUUUAAUAACAGGUGGGCUAUUAAAAAUAUUAGGGGGUAGAAUUCGGGGGAUAUUCAUAAUUUACUCUUCUAUUAAUAUUCAACAUAGUAGCAUAAUAUAGAAAUUUCAGUAUUCAAGGAAGAAGAACAAGUAAAUUAACCAUUAUCUUUUUCUAUAACAGAAGGGAAGACUAGAAGCACAAUAACGCUAAAAAAAGAGGUGAUAGCAAAAUAAAUAAAAAUCUCUGGUUUAAUGAAGAGUAACAAUUAACAAGGAAAUUUAAAGAAUUAUGUGCGUCUCUGAGUGAGGACCAAGAUCAGUGUCAAUGUAUUGCAUUGAGUUGAAACUUUGAUGAACAUGCGCAGGCGGGAGGCCCUGAAUACCCCAUUCCCCUCGGCCGACGUGACAGCCUCAACUUUGCGACUCAAGAAGCAACUUUGGCGAACCUCCCAGGCCCCACGUCCACCACCUCCGUCCUCCUGGAGGCCUAUGCCAACAAAAGCCUGGAUGCCACCGACCUCGUCGCCCUCUCAGGCGGCCACACCAUCGGCAUUUCACACUGCCCCUCCUUUGACAACCGCCUCUUCCCCUCCCAAGACCCCACCCUCGACAAAACCUUUGCAAAAAACCUCUACAAAAUUUGCCCCAUUUCCGAUACCAAUGCUACCACUGUGCUCGACAUUCGAACCCCAAACGUGUUUGAUAACAAAUACUAUGUUGACCUCAUG
rnacentral:lncRNA from 1 species